UACAGAGGUCUCAAGCGUUGUUCGGAUUCAUUGGGCGUAAAGAGCGCGUAGGCGGCCCUGUAAGUCCGCUGUGAAAGUCAAGGGCUCAACCCUUGGAUGCCGGUGGAUACUGCAGGGCUAGAGUCCGGAAGAGGCGAGUGGAAUUCCUGGUGUAGCGGUGAAAUGCACAGAUAUCAGGAGGAACACCGAUGGCGAAGGCAGCUCGCUGGGACGGUACUGACGCUGAGGCGCGAAAGCGUGGGGAGCAAACAGG
rnacentral:rRNA from 1 species